UUACUUACCUGGACGGGGUCAAUGGAUGAUCAAUAAGACCCAUGGCUUAUACUGAGUGACUCCAUUGCACUUUGGAGGGGCACCUGUGUAAGGUCGACCAAAGUAGUCGAACCUGUGUCAAUUUGUGUCAGAAGGGGUUUGCGUUCGCGCAGGGCCGGC
rnacentral:snRNA from 1 species